GAUGGACGCUGGCGGCGUGCCUAACACAUGCAAGUCGAACGGAGCUUGAGGGAAGAAGACUUCGGUCAACGGACCAAAAGCUUAGUGGCGGAUGGGUGAGUAACACGUGAGCAACCUGCCUUGUACAGUGGAAUAACAACGGGAAACCGUUGCUAAUACCGCAUAACAUACCGAAGAGGCAUCUGAUUGGUAUCAAAGGAGCAAUCCGGUACGAGAUGGCCUCGCGUCCGAUUAGCUAGUUGGUGAGGUAACGGCCCACCAAGGCGACGAUCGGUAGCCGGACUGAGAGGCUGAACGGCCACAUUGGGACUGAGACACGGCCCAG
rnacentral:rRNA from 1 species